rnacentral:rRNA from 1 species
AUUGAACGCUGGCGGCAGGCCUAACACAUGCAAGUCGAGCGGAUGAAGGGAGCUUGCUCCUGGAUUCAGCGGCGGACGGGUGAGUAAUGCCUAGGAAUCUGCCUGGUAGUGGGGGAUAACGUCCGGAAACGGGCGCUAAUACCGCAUACGUCCUGAGGGAGAAAGUGGGGGAUCUUGGGACCUCCCGCUAUCGGAUGAGCCUAGGUCGGAUUAGCUAGUUGGUGGGGUAAAGGCCUACCAAGGCGACGAUCCGUAACUGGUCUGAGAGGAUGAUCAGUCACACUGGAACUGAGACACGGUCCAGACUCCUACGGGAGGCAGCAGUGGGGAAUAUUGGACAAUGGGCGAAAGCCUGAUCCAGCCAUGCCGCGUGUGUGAAGAAGGUCUUCGGAUUGUAAAGCACUUUAAGUUGGGAGGAAGGGCAGUAAGUUAAUACCUUGCUGUUUUGACGUUACCAACAGAAUAAGCACCGGCUAACUUCGUG